AUUUGUGUUGGACAAGGGCAACUACCCUGUCAACGCCCCACUCAAGGAGACCAUCGCCAGCAUCCAAUCCCAGGUCGCCAAGAUUGAGGACGGCAUGAAGCAACAAUGCAGGGGUGAUGGCAACACCUUUCUCCCUCAAAGGAUGGCAAGAUUGCAACCAACCAUGUCGGAGCUCGAGGUCUACAAAAUUUGAAGAUCGAAACCAUAUAGCUCUACUCAGCAAAGAGCCGUGUCUUCUGUUUGAUUGUAAUAGAAUGUAAAUAUUGCAAUAUUGUAAUAGUAGGCAUAUCUGGGUUGUAAUA